rnacentral:rRNA from 1 species
UACGUAGUGUGCAAGCGUUGAUCGGAAUUACUGGGCGUAAAGCGUGCGCAGGCGGCUUUGCAAGUCAGGUGUGAAAUCCCCGGGCUUAACCUGGGAACUGCAUUUGUGACUGCAUGGCUAGAGUGCGGCAGAGGGGGAUGGAAUUCCGCGUGUAGCAGUGAAAUGCGUAGAUAUGCGGAGGAACACCGAUGGCGAAGGCAAUCCCCUGGGCCUGCACUGACGCUCAGGCACGAAAGCGUGGGGAGCAAACAGG